rnacentral:rRNA from 1 species
AUUGAACGCUGGCGGCAUGCCUAACACAUGCAAGUCGGGCGAGUGGCGGACGGGUGAGUAAUGUAUGGGGAUCUGCCUGAUGGCGGGGGAUAACUCCUGGAAACGGUUGCUAAUACCGCCUACCCUCAGAUGAACCCAUAUGGGAUUAGCUAGUCGUUAGGGUAACGGCUCACCUAGGCGACGAUCCCUAGCUGGUCUGAGAGGAUGAUCGGCCACACUGGGACUGAGACACGGCCCAGACUCCUACGGGAGGCAGCAGUGGGGAAUAUUGGACAAUGGGCGAAAGCCUGAUGCAGCCAUGCCGCGUGAAUGAAGAAGGCCUUCGGGUUGUAAAGUACUUUCAGUCGGGAAGCGUUACCGAAAGAAGAAGCAACGGCUAACUCCGUGCCAGCAGCCGCGGUAAUAC